GAUGAACGCUGGCGGCGUGCCUAAUACAUGCAAGUCGAGCGAACAGACGAGGAGCUUGCUCCUCACACGUUAGCGGCGGACGGGUGAGUAACACGUGGAUAACCUACCUAUAAGCCUGGGAUAACUUCGGGAAACCGGAGCUAAUACCGGAUAAUAUAUUGAACCGCAUGGUUCAAUAGUGAAAGACGGUUUUGCUGUCACUUAUAGAUGGAUCCCUGCCGCAUUAGCUAGUUGGUAAGGUAACGGCUUACCAAGGCAACGAUGCGUAGCCGACCUGAGAGGGUGUAGGGCCACACUGGAGGUGAAACACGGUCCAGACACCUAGGGGAGGCAGCAGUAGGGAAUCGGCCGAGAUGUGGGAAAGCCUGACGGAGCAACGCAGGGGGGGUGAUGAGGGGCUGCGGAUCGGAAAACGGUGUUAUUGGGGAAGAACAAAUGUGUAAGUAACUAUGCACGUCUUGACGGUACCGGAGCAGAAAGCCCGGGCAAACUACGU
rnacentral:rRNA from 1 species